UGGGCGUAAGCGCGCGCAGGCGGUUCCUUAAGUCUGAUGUGAAAGCCCCCGGCUCAACCGGGGAGGGUCAUUGGAAACUGGGGAACUUGAGUGCAGAAGAGAAGAGUGGAAUUCCACGUGUAGCGGUGAAAUGCGUAGAGAUGUGGAGGAACACCAGUGGCGAAGGCGACUCUUUGGUCUGUAACUGACGCUGAGGCGCGAAAGCGUGGGGAGCAAACAGGAUUAGAUACCCUGGUAGUCCACGCCGUAAACGAUGAGUGCUAAGUGUUAGAGGGUUUCCGCCCUUUAGUGCUGCAGCAAACGCAUUAAGCACUCCGCCUGGGGAGUACGGCCGCAAGGCUGAAACUCAAAGGAAUUGACGGGGGCCCGCACACGCGGUGGAGCAUGUGGUUU
rnacentral:rRNA from 2 species